CAGGGGAUUGCGCCAGACGGGCAAACAAUUGCAGUGAAGAAACUUGCCGAAAAUACACCAAUCACGUGUGACAAAGUAUUCACUAACGAGGUUCAGAGUAUUAUGGCUCUGCAACUGCAUCAUGAAAAUGUAGUAAAGUUGGAGGGCUACUGCCAUGAAGCCCAAAAGAAAGUGGUGCAGAACAAUGGAAGAUAUAUUGUUGCAGACAUUGUUGAAAGUUUACUCUGCUACGAGUACUUGCCGCAGGGGAACCUUCAGAAGAAUCUUUUUGAAGUAUCCAAUGAUGGAAUGGACUGGGACACACGCUUCAAAAUCAUCAAGGGGAUCUACCAAGGUUUAGCCUUCCUACACAGCAUUAACAUUGUCCAUAUGGAUCUUAAACCUGAGAACAUAUUGCUGGAUGAUAAGAUGAUCCCGAAAAUUGCGGAUUUCGGUCUCUCGAGACUCUUCGGCCAAGAACAAACACGGAUGAAAACACAAAAUGUUGUUGGAUCGUAUGGAUACAUAGCUCCAGAAUAUCUCUACUAUUAA
rnacentral:rRNA from 1 species